GGUGGAACAGCGGCUGGGCCUGUUUACUCAGCUGUGGGCCUCCCCAGGUCCAGGGAAAGAGAGGAUGUGUUCAGGGCCUCAUUAAUCAUGACUGCUUUGGGAAGAGAUAAACAGGCCAGGCCCAGCAGGGAUGCUGCAGCUCCUGCCGCUGGUGGGGGAAAAGGGACAGAGGAGAAGGUGGGGGGGUUAUGCGGAAAGGCCAGUGGGGCGCGAGGAGAGGUGGACUCGCACUCCAGGGGAUACAGCAUAACACUUGCUCUUUGGUUCUACAUCCGCAUGGCUGCACGGGCUUGUAAAUCCACAUUCUUUGUCUGGUCAGAUGCAAACAGGCCGCAUGAACCCAAAGCCCAUUUGUUUUUAGACUGCGUUGUGUAUUUUUUAAAGGAUGAUGCUUUCGCCUACGUUCACGCGCUCGGAUCCUCACACGUUUUCCUUUCGAGGCGACACAUUCCAUUGUCAACUCGCUUCACGUUAUUGCCGCUCUUUACUUUCACUGUGGCAGUUUUCCUCGUGCCAUUUUAAGCUGUUUACAUGCUGUUUACAUUUUUGCUUCUCGACAUAAGCGGCGUAUUUAAUAAACGCUACGGAACCUUAAAUUCAGCGCUGACUUUUGAUUUCAUCCCAGUGUGCUUAGCAAUGAUUAUUAUGAUACGCUGCAGACUGAGCGCUGAGUCUGUUUUGUUUAUUAAUGGAGACUUCUGUUCUCCAAAACUCUUUAACCACAAAUAUUAAGGUUAUUUGAUGGGAAUGAAAUGUGCUCUGCACUGUUCCCUGUUAACUCAACUCUGUUGGCCCGAGUCCCACCAGAUCUUUUCCUUGUCUGUAUCCCUUUCAUGCUUCAUACUCGCUUUCUCAUUAAAAAGACGAGAACGCUUGAGAGAUUCGCAUUCGUCCGUAGAAAGAAAAAAAUUACGCAGAGAAAUAGUGUUCCUGUCAGUCUGUCAUAUGGACGAGACACACGGGUCACAGCGCCAGUGUUAUUCUACACCCACAGAGACUCUGGGAGAAGAAGAAGAAAAAACCCCGCUCCAGAAAGCCCACCGAUUAUUACCUGCCUCUCCUCUCCGCGGCCCGCAGACCGCUGUGCAACGGCCUCUGUGUGCCACAGCCGGCGGCGCUCAUCUCCUGCACACUGUUUCAUCCGUCUGCACAAAAGAAAAAAGGGUCCAAUCAGUUUGAGGGACCUGACAAACGCAAUAAGCCCGGGGUUUGUUUCAGUGCUCCCUCCGAACUGGUUUUUAAGAUAUUGUAUUACUCUGUUUAUUUGAGUCUAUUUCUACAUUAUAGUGUGCGUCUGUGUGCUUUUGCAACGUGUGUUUACGCGCGUCUGUCUGCGCCCUGUGUGUGCGCGUGUGUCCCGGGCCUUGUACACUAAUUGGUCUUGAUGGGGCUCGGAAAAGUGACAUCAUUACCAGAGUGUCUGGAUUUCCACCCAGAGGUCCAACGAGUGGGCAAGAUUGAAAUACGGGAUGCGGUGAAGAAGGCGGAUCCGUGGAUACCAGAUACCUGCUACCACGAUAGCUCCAUCGGCGGGGGGGAGCGCUGCAAUGUCUUCAAAAAUAAAAGAGAAAUCCACCAAUAUCUGGAAGACGAGGACUAGGACGAGACGCCGACAUCCAAUAGAAACCUCAGCCGAACGUCCUGAUGUGGCAGCAUCACAUUUAAAUGGAUAAAAGCAUCACAUGAGGCUGCAGAUGAUCCCUGGAUUUGGUCGGAGGAGGGUGACCUUUGUGAGCAGAAAUAGUGGAGCACAACUUUUGGUUUAUGGUUUAUAGAUUAUGAUCUGCUGCUCUGUGAUGAACUGCUGGAGUCAAAGCUUAAAGGAAGCAACGCUCAGUCUUUUUGCACCAGAAAACGUUUCUUCCGUUGAUCUGAUUUUAUGUGUGCUAUUGUAUAUUCUCCUUUUCUCUUUUUUUAUAAUCAUGUCUCUUUGUGUUGCUUUGUGUUUUAACUUAUUUAGCCGUUUGUCCCAUAAAUAUCAAACAUCUCUUUUACAAGGGAUACAAAACCAGAAUACUACCAGAAACUUCUAGUUUCAUUCAUUUGAUUAAAGAACAGCAAACCCUAAAAGGUCCUGCGAACGGAGACUCUCAUUUACAUGAUUGAAAUUGAAUGAAGAAUGUUUUGUUUAAAGCACGUUAAUGGAAGGCUGUUUGUCUCUAUCUACCAGGAAAUGGAUUUACCUUCAAAACGUGUCCUGCAAAGCCUCAAUAAAACAGAUAGAUAUUAGAUAUAACACAUCACAGGUCAACACUAUACUCACCGGUGCAACAGCUUAACAUAAUUACUAACGUGUCUCUGUUCCGAUCGAUAUUAACGGGCCUCCUUUGCAGUUGUGACAUGAAGACAAACAAGGAAUUUUAUGUUUUAGUGUUCAUUAUUUAUUAUAAACACUUUAAUACCUGGAUUGUGGAUGUUUGAGGGCCGAAUUUGUUUGUGUACAUGACUGCACAUUUGAACUGAUCACAAACAAUCACAACUUUACACUUUGUUUAUGUCCCUACAGCAUUGUCUGCUCUAAAAUGUUUGCUGAGAUAUUGUUAUUAUAUAUAUAUAUAUAUAUAUUAUAUAUGAAUUUCACCUCGGGGACAGCUGGUGAUUGGCGCCACCUGGCGGUCAGUUACGUCUCUCUGCUGCACGAUACAAACGUUUAAAGUAACUUCCUAUAUUAUUCCUAUAUAAGACUAUAUUCAAUUCACUAAGAAACAGUUGUCCAAAAAUUGUCCAAAAGGCCUUAAACACUCACAAGACCCUUCACCUUGUUGCAUUAGACAGGGACUAAUAUUUAUUUGUUUUGCCUUUGGAUACUUAAAUCUAAUUUUGCUGGUAACACAAGCACAAUUUUGAAUAUCUUAACUUGUUUAUUUAUAUUAAUUUAAUAAAUGUAUUAAUAAAGGAGCUUGAAAUUGACUUUGAUUUGCUCUAAACAUUGUCCAGACAUUGCAUCACUGAAAGUAUUCUGUACUACCAGAAGUGACCUCACGGUGGCGUCUGUCACUAAGACAUGGAGGGGUUUUCUGUCCACCGUCCAAAAUAUUUACCCAAACUGUCCCCAGAAACAUAAAUCGUCUUCGGCCAUCUGCUCAGGUAAGUGGUAGUUUAGGUAAGUGGUAGGUCUGUCCACGGGGUACUGGUCUCUGCUGGAGGAUCCGGGUCUGUCCACAGGGUACUAGUCUCUGCUGGAGGAUCUCAGUCUGUCCACGGGGGAACUGGUCUCUGCUGGAGGAUCCGGGUCUGUCCACGGGGAACUGGGUCUCUGCUGGUGGAGGUUCUGGUGAACCUGCAUGGAAGUCACCUGGUUUCAGCAGAAUCUUGCCGGGUGGCAUCGAGUAGAAAUGCAGAAUCUUCUCUCUGAUGGUCUCGUAUACAGGUUUAGGUCACAUAGAGGCAUCAGUAUUAAACUGAGACUGUUUAAUAAUCAUAAUAUACAAAUUGGUUGUUUAACUGGAGAGGUGCAGGUCGGCGUCAGACUGCUGUUUCUUUACGCUGAGUCCACAUCACUUUAGACAACGACAGCUAAAGCCACCGAAGGCCAUCGGCCAAUGGAUCUUCUCCAUCUUCUUACAUCUUCUCCCCUUGAAGGGUUCUUAGGUUUUCCAAACCAUUCCAUUGUUACCAUCGCAUAGCACUUUUAUUGAAACUGCUGUAAAUUAGAUUAUUAUACACACCGCUAGCAAACGCUUGGCUACUCUUUGCAGUUGCAUUCAGUGCUUUCUGGAUCGAGUCUGUCUUUCUAUCUUCAUCACACAAUCAAUUACCACAUGAAACUAGACUCCAAGUCAGAUCACUCGGCGUGACUGUCAAAACAGCUCCUCUAAAGAUCUUAAAUAACAAGUGGCCGGAUGACCUAUCUACUCGCGAUUAUGCAACGGUAUGUGUAACCGGAUAGCGCAGGGAAAAUGUUUUCACUGAAUCGGACCCACCCGUAUCAGAUGUCUUCUGUGUCACAGUGUGGAUUUAAUAGCUUCAGGGAAGCAGCGAGCUAUUUUUUCUUUGAAAAAACGGUCACUUAGCAUUUAUUUGUCUGUUGAGCCUUUUUCAUUAGGGAGCAGGCUUCUGUGUGUUUGAGUGGCAUGUUCAUUACUCUCGAGCUGGAAUGCAUGUAUUAUAUAUCAUAUGUGUUUUAACCAGAGUCUCCUCUAGACUUCUUCAACUAAAGCGCCUAGCGUCAGCGUAAGGGUGCUAGCAUGCUACGAUUAGCUUUAUAAAAAGAGCACACUUGAUUUUGAUUCUUGCUUUUGGCAAGAAACCAAAAUAUUGGACGGUGAAAUGUUGAUAAACGGGGUUUGGGGAAUAAUGAAUAAAAUGGAACAAUGUUACAUAAUAAAAAGAAUACAAAAAAGUAGUUAUUUUGUGACAGCUACCUUAAAAUACAUAUUUUCUUUUGAACUACCAUUGAUAUGUUCACACAUUAGAAAACAAGUCACAACGUUGGCUAACGUUGGUGGGAGAAAUGCUUCCACUGGGUGUAAAUCUUGUUCGUAAAGCAGGAAAAAAGGGAACAAGUUGUGUCCAAGUUUGCUACAAACGAGGUUGGUGUGCUUACUUUCCACUUCAUCCAAACCAUCUUCCCAGAGUCAACCCAGCGUGACAAGAAGGUUUGAUUCAGCUUCUCAUUUCUUCUCCUGCAAAACUGAUACAGGAUAAACUGGGAAAAUGUGCAUUUGAUUUAAUUUAAUUGAUAUAGUUAGUUGCUGCUCCCAGUUUAAAAUCCGGUACUGCUAAUGGGCCAAAAGAUUUGAGUUUGUAUUUUAACUUUCCUGUGAUGUUUCCCAUUUCCGCUCUAAACACAAAUCAUUCCGAUAAUUUUUCUUGUCUCUGGUCUUUAUUUUAUUUAAUUUGGUAUUGAGGUAAUCCAAAAGGAACAGAGACUCAAUACGUAAUGGCUCCGUAAUAUUGUGAUAUUUGUAACGACAUCUUUUACAAGUUAACUGGACUUUGUUUUUGGAAUACAUCUUUAAAGUAACCCUCCCGACGCUGCAUCUCAAACACAUCUCCCACGAGAACGCAAGACGAGGGACACACGAUACACCUGCACCCGCCUCUGCAGAAUCCUCUUGUUCAACACACACACGACAGGAAUGUGUGGGAAACUCUCUCAGCCAAAGCUAUAAACAAUACAACAACCAAACGUCUGGAUCACCCGCCAAGAAAGAAACCGGUUUGAAACUGUUGUCAAUUAAUGACAUCAUCUGAGACAUUACAUCGUCUGCGGCACGUUGGGGUGAAAAGUUCAUGAACAGUGUUCUGUGACUGCGUGCGAGAUCUCUGCGCGUUCUUUCCCCCGGGGUUUUGCCGGUAAGGAGAUUACUGGAGUAUCAUUUCCUCUGACCGUGGAAACCCAUUUUCUGGGUCAGUGGACCCCACGAAAGCGCUGAUUGAGUCUUAAAUGGGGCUCCUUCAAGCAUACGUUUGCUCCCCUUGUACCCGAGACAAUGAGCCCAACGGCAGCAAAGCAGAGCGGCAACGCCCUCGCGACAUUACUGGGAAAUGUGGUAACAUCGGAACAAUUGAGCGCUUCAGUCAACAACACGUCUCAGGCCUCACGGUCCAAAGGUUGGAAGAAAGAACGCCACAGUGUGAAUCCUACUAGAGGAUUCGUAUUAAAGUGAAGGAUUUUUGAGUCAUUUAAACACUUGUGUUAACGCUUUUUUAUGGUCAACAAGCCAGACCUGUUUUUGUAAAAAGUUUAAUAAAUAAGAAUAAAAAAAGGGGGGGCGGCGAGUGAUUUGUAGGACAGAAUUCCAAAAGUUCACAGUAGUUCCAGAUGAUGAACAGUCAAAAGCCGUCAGUAAUGGCGGACUUUCUAAGAAUUGGAGAAACUGGCGGCGCUUCUUUGAGCAUUGAGCUAAAUGAUAACGUUGGAAUAUUUACCAUGUUCGUCCACAUGUUUAGUGGGUUAGCAUGCUAACAUUUGCUGAUAGGUUCUGUUGAGAAUAAUCAGGAUUUAAUUGGUUUUGCAGUUUUUGGUCAUAAGUCAAAGUAAACGACAAAUGAAAACGUUUAACUCGAUGAGAUCGAAAGUAA
ensembl:lncRNA